CAAUAGCGUAUAUUAAUGUUGUUGCAGUUAAAAAGCUCGUAGUUGGAUUUCUGAUGAGAGCCCUGGUCACUCUAACGAGUGUACUGAUGUGGCGUCUCGUCGUUUCAUGGGGAUGCUUGCUGGUAUUAAGUUAUCGGCUUGUGGAUCCAUGUCGUUUACUGUGAAAAAAUUAGAGUGUUCAAAGCAGGCCAUCGCUGUGAAUACAUUAGCAUGGAAUAAUAAGAUAGGACUGUGGUGCUAUUUUGUUGGUUUGCGUACUACGGUAAUGAUUAAUAGGGAUAGUUGGGGGUAUUCAUAUUCAAUUGUCAGAGGUGAAAUUCUUGGAUUUAUGGAAGAUGAACUACUGCGAAAGCAUUUACCAAGGAUGUUUNCAUUAA
rnacentral:rRNA from 1 species